GACGUAGGGGGCCAGCGUUGCUCGGAAUUACUGGGUGUAAAGGGUCAGUAGGCGGUGUGGCAAGUCGGGAGUGAAAUCUCUGGGCUUAACCCAGAGGCUGCUUCCGAAACUGCUGUGCUAGAGUGUGAGAGAGGCGCGUGGAAUUGCAGGUGUAGCGGUGAAAUGCGUAGAUAUCUGCAGGAACACCCGUGGCGAAAGCGGCGCGCUGGAUCACAACUGACGCUGAAUGACGAAAGCUAGGGGAGCAAACAGG
rnacentral:rRNA from 1 species